rnacentral:rRNA from 1 species
UACGUAGGGUGCAAGCGUUAUCCGGAAUUAUUGGGCGUAAAGAGCUCGUAGGCGGUCUGUCGCGUCGGCUGUGAAAACUCGGGGCUCAACCCCGAGCCUGCAGUCGAUACGGGCAGACUAGAGUGCUGUAGGGGAGACUGGAAUUCCUGGUGUAGCGGUGAAAUGCGCAGAUAUCAGGAGGAACACCGGUGGCGAAGGCGGGUCUCUGGGCAGUAACUGACGCUGAGGAGCGAAAGCGUGGGGAGCAAACAGG